rnacentral:rRNA from 2 species
GGGUUGUGAGGUUAAGCGACUAAGCGUACACGGUGGAUGCCCAGGCAGUCAGAGGCGAUGAAGGACGUGCUAAUCUGCGUAAAGCGACGGUAAGGUGAUAUGAACCGCUACAGCCGUCGAUGUCCGAAUGGGGAAACCCGGUGCACUCUGUGCAUCAUUGCAGCAUGAAUACAUAGUGCUGCAAGGCGAACCGGGGGAACUGAAACAUCUAAGUACCCCGAGGAAAAGAAAUCAACCGAGAUUCCCCCAGUAGCGGCGAGCGAACGGGGAGCAGCCCAGAGCCUGAAUCAGUUUGUGUGUUAGUGGAAGCGUCUGGAAAGUCGCAGGGUACAGGGUGAUACUCCCGUACACAAAAACACACAUGCUGUGAGCUCGAUGAGUAAGGCGGGACACGUGGUAUCCUGUCUGAAUAUGGGGGGACCAUCCUCCAAGGCUAAAUACUCCUGACUGACCGAUAGUGAACCAGUACCGUGAGGGAAAGGCGAAAAGAACCCCGGCGAGGGGAGUGAAACAGAACCUGAAACCGUGUACGUACAAGCAGUGGGAGCCUUCUUUAUGGGGGUGACUGCGUACCUUUUGUAUAAUGGGUCAGCGACUUAUAUUCUGUAGCAAGGUUAACCGUAUAGGGGAGCCGCAGGGAAACCGAGUCUUAACUGGGCGUUAAGUUGCAGGGUAUAGACCCGAAACCCGGUGAUCUAGCCAUGGGCAGGUUGAAGGUUGGGUAACACUAACUGGAGGACCGAACCGACUAAUGUUGAAAAAUUAGCGGAUGACCUGUGGCUGGGGGUGAAAGGCCAAUCAAACCGGGAGAUAGCUGGUUCUCCCCGAAAGCUAUUUAGGUAGCGCCUCGUGAACUCAUCUUCGGGGGUAGAGCACUGUUUCGGCUAGGGGGCCAUCCCGGCUUACCAACCCGAUGCAAACUGCGAAUACCGAAGAAUGUUAUCACGGGAGACACACGGCGGGUGCUAACGUCCGUCGUGAAGAGGGAAACAACCCAGACCGCCAGCUAAGGUCCCAAAGUCAUGGUUAAGUGGGAAACGAUGUGGGAAGGCACAGACAGCCAGGAUGUUGGCUUAGAAGCAGCCAUCAUUUAAAGAAAGCGUAAUAGCUCACUGGUCGAGUCGGCCUGCGCGGAAGAUGUAACGGGGCUAAACCAUGCACCGAAGCUGCGGCAGCGAC